rnacentral:lncRNA from 10 species
AGGGGACUCUGAUGCCUUCAGCUCUGGCCAUCCUGAGUGCUGUGAUCUGCUUCCCCUUCUUUCUACACCACUCGCAAUCCCACCACGCUGCUGCAGUCACUGCCAACUCAUAGAGCCUUCUAAGGGCCCCAGGGUCUCUGGGACACCCCCUCUCCCCUGGGAGGGAAGCAAGGUCCUCAUGAAGGUCCCAGGUGCAGGUGCUGAAAGAGUGUGGAGGUGCCUCCUUGAGUGUCAAAGUCUGGGAUUCCAGCUUUCAGCCUCAGGUUCCAGGACAAGAUCGCACUAUAUUGCCCAGGCUGGUCUUGAACUCCUGGCCUUAAGUGAUCC